GUGCAUGCUUGGGCAGCACAUAUACUAAAAUUAGAAAGAUACAGAGAGGAUUAGUAUGGCCCCUGCACAAGGAUGACAUGCAAAUUCAUGAAGUGUUCCAUAUUUUA